rnacentral:rRNA from 1 species
AGUGAACGCUGGCGGCAGGCCUAACACAUGCAAGUCGAGCGGCAGCGCGGGGGCAACCCUGGCGGCGAGCGGCGGACGGGUGAGGAAUUCGUCGGAAUCUGCCUUUUUGUGGGGGAUAACGUAGGGAAACUUACGCUAAUACCGCAUACGUCCUACGGGAGAAAGUGGGGGACCGCAAGGCCUCACGCAGAAAGAUGAGCCGACGACCGAUUAGCUAGUUGGUGGGGUAAAGGCCCACCAAGGCGACAAUCGGUAGCUGGUCUGAGAGAAUGAUCAGCCACACUGGGACUGAGACACGGCCCAGACUCCUACGGGAGGCAGCAGUGGGGAAUAUUGGACAAUGGGCGCAAGCCUGAUCCAGCCAUGCCGCGUGUGUGAAGAAGGCCUUCGGGUUGUAAAGCACUUUUGUCCGGAAAGAAAUCCCUGGAGCUAAUACCUUCGGGGGAUGACGGUACCGGAAGAAUAAGCACCGGCUAACUUCGUG